GCUCGGAUGGUGGAAUGGUAGACACUGGGGACUUAAAAUCCCCUGGCCGCAAGGUCAUGCGAGUUCAAGUCUCGCUCUGAGCA
rnacentral:tRNA from 1 species